rnacentral:rRNA from 1 species
AGCAGCCGCGGUAAUUCCAGCUCCAAUAGCGUAUAUUAAAGUUGUUGCAGUUAAAAGGCUCGUAGUUGAACUUCGGGGUUUACCCAUUGGUCAGGCUUAAUUGUCUGUACUGGUGAGAUAAAUCUCUACCUUCUGAGGAACUUUCAUGUCAUUAAUUUGGUGUGAUUGGAAAUCAGGACUGUUACUUUGAAAAAUUAGAGUGUUUAAAGCAGGCUAACGUCUGAAUACAUUAGCAUGGAAUAAUGAAAUAGGACGGACUGAUUCUAUUUCGUUGGUUUCUAGGAUCACCGUAAUGAUUAAUAGGGAUAGUUGGGGGCAUUAGUAUUCAAUUGUCAGAGGUGAAAUUCUUGGAUUUAUUGAAGACUAACUACUGCGAAAGCAUUCGCCAAGGAUGUUUUCAUUAAUCAAGAACGAAAGUUAGGGGAUCGAAGACGAUCAGAUACCGUCGUAGUCUUAACCAUAAACUAUGCCGACUAGGGAUUGGACGAAGUUAAUUUUAUAAUUGACGCGUUUACGGGCA